AAAUUGAAGAGUUUGAUCAUGGCUCAGAUUGAACGCUGGCGGCAGGCCUAACACAUGCAAGUCGAGCGGUAGCACAGAGAGCUUGCUCUCGGGUGACGAGCGGCGGACGGGUGAGUAAUGUCUGGGAAACUGCCUGAUGGAGGGGGAUAACUACUGGAAACGGUAGCUAAUACCGCAUAACGUCGCAAGACCAAAGUGGGGGACCUUCGGGCCUCAUGCCAUCAGAUGUGCCCAGAUGGGAUUAGCUAGUAGGUGGGGUAACGGCUCACCUAGGCGACGAUCCCUAGCUGGUCUGAGAGGAUGACCAGCCACACUGGAACUGAGACACGGUCCAGACUCCUACGGGAGGCAGCAGUGGGGAAUAUUGCACAAUGGGCGCAAGCCUGAUGCAGCCAUGCCGCGUGUGUGAAGAAGGCCUUCGGGUUGUAAAGCACUUUCAGCGGGGAGGAAGGCAAUAAGGUUAAUAACCUUGUUGAUUGACGUUACCCGCAGAAGAAGCACCGGCUAACUCCGUGCCAGCAGCCGCGGUAAUACGGAGGGUGCAAGCGUUAAUCGGAAUUACUGGGCGUAAAGCGCACGCAGGCGGUCUGUCAAGUCGGAUGUGAAAUCCCCGGGCUCAACCUGGGAACUGCAUUCGAAACUGGCAGGCUAGAGUCUUGUAGAGGGGGGUAGAAUUCCAGGUGUAGCGGUGAAAUGCGUAGAGAUCUGGAGGAAUACCGGUGGCGAAGGCGGCCCCCUGGACAAAGACUGACGCUCAGGUGCGAAAGCGUGGGGAGCAAACAGGAUUAGAUACCCUGGUAGUCCACGCCGUAAACGAUGUCGAUUUGGAGGUUGUGCCCUUGAGGCGUGGCUUCCGGAGCUAACGCGUUAAAUCGACCGCCUGGGGAGUACGGCCGCAAGGUUAAAACUCAAAUGAAUUGACGGGGGCCCGCACAAGCGGUGGAGCAUGUGGUUUAAUUCGAUGCAACGCGAAGAACCUUACCUGGUCUUGACAUCCACAGAACUUAGCAGAGAUGCUUUGGUGCCUUCGGGAACUGUGAGACAGGUGCUGCAUGGCUGUCGUCAGCUCGUGUUGUGAAAUGUUGGGUUAAGUCCCGCAACGAGCGCAACCCUUAUCCUUUGUUGCCAGCGGUCCGGCCGGGAACUCAAAGGAGACUGCCAGUGAUAAACUGGAGGAAGGUGGGGAUGACGUCAAGUCAUCAUGGCCCUUACGACCAGGGCUACACACGUGCUACAAUGGCAUAUACAAAGAGAAGCGACCUCGCGAGAGCAAGCGGACCUCAUAAAGUAUGUCGUAGUCCGGAUUGGAGUCUGCAACUCGACUCCAUGAAGUCGGAAUCGCUAGUAAUCGUAGAUCAGAAUGCUACGGUGAAUACGUUCCCGGGCCUUGUACACACCGCCCGUCACACCAUGGGAGUGGGUUGCAAAAGAAGUAGGUAGCUUAACCUUCGGGAGGGCGCUUACCACUUUGUGAUUCAUGACUGGGGUGAAGUCGUAACAAGGUAACCGUAGGGGAACCUGCGGUUGGAUCACCUCCUUACCUUAAAGAA
rnacentral:rRNA from 1 species